AAAGGAAUUGACGGGGCCCGCACAAGCGGUGGAUUAUGUGGAUUAAUCGAUGCAACGCGAAAACCUUACCUACCCUUGACAUGCUAGGAACUUGCCAGAGAUGGCUUGGUGCCCGAAAGGGAACCUAGACACAGGUGCUGCAUGGCUGUCGUCAGCUCGUGUCGUGAGAUGUUGGGUUAAGUCCCGCAACGAGCGCAACCCUUGUCAUUAAUUGCCAUCAUUCAGUUGGGCACUUUAAUGAGACUGCCGGUGACAAACCGGAGGAAGGUGGGGAUGACGUCAAGUCCUCAUGGCCCUUAUGGGUAGGGCUUCACACGUAAUACAAUGGUCGGUACAGAGGGUUGCCAACCCGCGAGGGGGAGCCAAUCCCAGAAAACCGAUCGUAGUCCGGAUUGCAGUCUGCAACUCGACUGCAUGAAGUCGGAAUCGCUAGUAAUCGCGGAUCAGCAUGUCGCGGUGAAUACGUUCCCGGGCCUU
rnacentral:rRNA from 1 species